rnacentral:lncRNA from 1 species
GGAUGAGCUGAUGGAGCAGGUGAGGGGGUUGGUGGUGCGGCGUCAGAGGCGUGCGGCGCGGUGGCAGAGCUAGGAACCCCUAGGUGCGGCGCACCUAGGGUUUGACAUUGUUUCUGAUUUGUUUUCUCUUUUUGGGCUAGGGUUAGGUUAUUGGGCCUGUAGGUUGUGGGUUAGUGUUUAGGUGGGUUGGUUUGUAAAAAAUUAGGUUUUGGGCCGGGCAAAAAUGGGUUAGUGACAGAAGGUAUUCAAAAUAUCA